UUUAAAAUACAUUCGAUAUCUGAUUUUGGUAUCUCGACAUCAAUCAAUUGCCUUGGCCUUUGUUUCUUUUUUCUGAUCUUAUGUCACUUGCGUCUUGGUUGUAUAAUUUCUGUCACUUAUAUCGACAUUGUCUUUCUGUUUAUAAUUUCAGUUUUCGUUUGUUUGUUUGACUGUGCUAUAAUUCUAGUUGCAACAUAAGAUUUUUUUUUAUUAAGAAAAGAUUUAUUGUGGUUUUCCUGAAUUGAUUGAUCAAGUCAUCUUGCACAUCAUUUGUAUUCAAAAGUUUGUUCCAUAAUUAUCAGUUGCAGGUUCAACUAGUAGUAAACCGGUGAUCAGUAGAUUAAGAAUGAAUGGUUCAAGUAUUGGAUAAUUUUUAUGCUCCCAUAUAAAAUGUGUUAAUUUUAAUUUUCUCAGUUGUUUUUUAUGAGUUUAAUGUGUGAAAGUAUUGAAUCCGAGUGAAGCAAUAAUUAAAGAGUCUUUCUGAUAAGACAGACAUUUAUAGUUAUAAUCCAUGAAUGUAAUGUCUAAUACUAUUGUAUGAUGAAAUAAAUAGAUCAUUAAUGACAUCUCCCAGGGUAUAAUGUCUGUCCUAAACAUUAGUUGUUUGCAUAUUCUCUACACUUAAUACUAAAAAGGGUUUUGGUAUUUUUAGUUGAUAAAGAAUUUUAAAGUGUUUGGUCUGUUACCAAAAGACAAUAAUUUUUGUUCAUAAAAUGGUAUUAGUUAGUAGCUAUAUAUACAUAUCCGUACAUAUAUAUGGUCUUUGUUAAUAAAGUCUUGAUAGCCUAAUCUAAAGACAUGUUGAGUUAUUUAGCUAUAUACUUAGCUAUAUAGGUUCUUAUUUUCUUUUAAGGGUUAGUGAUCUAGUCUGGAACUUAGUUCAAUCUUUUUAGAUGACGAAUUGGAGAAAAUAAGUACUUGGGGUCAAUUUUUUCAAUCCAAUUUGCUUGCAUCAGUAACAAGGAUGUAAGCAGAACACUACACUGAUUGUUGUUACAAUGUCACAAUUUUCAGUUUUUUCAGGUGACCUCAGUUUACUAUUCUCAGUUUCAAAGUUCUACUGAUGAUGAGACAAGGUUCUAUAAAUGGUUUACGGAGGUGGUGAGAAAGGAGAAGGGUGGCUUAAGAAUCUUCAUCAUGAUGUGUUUGGGCUCCGGAACAAGAAGUAUGAGCAUUUUAUCAAGUUGCUCUUUGGCAGGUAAUAUAUCCUAGGGGAUUAUGGGAAACAACAUACGAGAAUUUACUAUCUUAAAGCAUUUCAACAUCAACAUCCAUCCCAUGAACACAAGGUCACAAAUUUUAACUAGAGACAACCACUAGUAGGGAUGACUAAAUGUAACGUUGAUUGAUGCAAGAGGAGCACCUGGACCUUUUUGCUUCUGCUGCCAUUUACCGUCGUAACAGUGGCGAAUACAUAGGAGGCUUCAUUUUACUGGUAAUGCGUUUGCCUUUAGAGUUGAACUGAUGGAAACCAUCCUUGCCAUUGAAUCAGAUCUUAACAGAGGUUGGUUCUAUCUUUGAAUUGAAACAAACUCUAUAUUGGUUUUAGGAAUUAGGACAUUGUGACUUGGAUAUUAGAAACAAAUGAAGAAGCUGUUUACAAAAUAUUAAAGGGAUAUAACUUACGAUUACAUACAUAUAUAGAG